AUUGAACGCUGGCGGCAGGCUUAACACAUGCAAGUCGCGCGGGCGGCGGACGGGUGAGUAAUGUCUGGGAAACUGCCUGAUUGAGGGGGCUACCUACUUGAACCGGUAGCUAAUCCCGCAUCCCCUCAGAUUUUCCCAGAUUGGAUUAGCUAGUCGGUGGGGUAAUGGCUCACCUAGGCGCCGAUCCCUAGCUGGUCUGAGAGGCUGACCAGCCACACUGGAACUGAGACACGGUCCAGACUCCUACGGGAGGCAGCAGUGGGGAAUAUUGCACAAUGGGCGCAAGCCUGAUGCAGCCAUGCCGCGUGUGUGAAGAAGGCCUUCGGGUUGUAAAGCACUUUCAGCGAGGAGGCGUUACUCGCAGAAGAAGCACCGGCUAACUCCGUGCCAGCAGCCGCGGUAAUUC
rnacentral:rRNA from 1 species